rnacentral:rRNA from 1 species
UACGGAAGAUCCAAGCGUUAUCCGGAUUUAUUGGGUUUAAAGGGUGCGUAGGCGGCUUAUUAAGUCAGGGGUGAAAGACGGUGGCUCAACCAUCGCAGUGCCCUUGAUACUGAUGAGCUUGAAUACACUUGAGGUAGGCGGAAUGUGACAAGUAGCGGUGAAAUGCAUAGAUAUGUCACAGAACACCAAUUGCGAAGGCAGCUUACUAAGGUGCAAUUGACGCUGAGGCACGAAAGCGUGGGGAUCAAACAGG